rfam:TPA: Bos taurus chromosome 9, whole genome shotgun sequence.
CCUGAUAGCUCAGUUGGUAAAGAAUCUGCUUGCAAUGCAGAACCCUGGUUCAAUUCCUGGGUCAGGA